rnacentral:piRNA from 1 species
UUAGAUGAAGGACCAGGUUGCUCUUGCGAU